rnacentral:rRNA from 1 species
AACGAACGCUGGCGGCAUGCCUAACACAUGCAAGUCGAACGAGACCUUCGGGUCUAGUGGCGCACGGGUGCGUAACGCGUGGGAACCUGCCCUUAGGUUCGGAAUAACUCCCCGAAAGGGGUGCUAAUACCGGAUAAUGUCUUCGGACCAAAGAUUUAUGGCCUUUGGAUGGGCCCGCGUUGGAUUAGCUAGUUGGUAGGGUAAAAGCCUACCAAGGCGACGAUCCAUAGCUGGUCUGAGAGGAUGAUCAGCCACACUGGGACUGAGACACGGACCAGACUGCUACGGGAGGCAGCAGUGGGGAAUAUUGGACAAGGGGCGAAAGCCUGAUCAAGCAAUGCCGCGUGAGUGAUGAAGGCCUUAGGGUUGUAAAGCUCUUUUACCCGGGAUGAUAAUGACAGUACCGGGAGAAUAAGCGCCGGCUAACUCCGUG